ACACAUGCAAGUCGAGCGGUAACAGAUCCAGCUUGCUGGAUGCUGACGAGCGGCGGACGGGUGAGUAAUGCAUAGGAAUCUGCCCGAUAGUGGGGGAUAACCUGGGGAAACCCAGGCUAAUACCGCAUACGUCCUACGGGAGAAAGGGGGCUCCGGCUCCCGCUAUGGGAUGAGCCUAUGUCGGAUUAGCUGGUUGGUGAGGUAACGGCUCACCAAGGCCACGAUCCGUAGCUGGUCUGAGAGGAUGAUCAGCCACAUCGGGACUGAGACACGGCCCGAACUCCUACGGGAGGCAGCAGUGGGGAAUAUUGGACAAUGGGGGAAACCCUGAUCCAGCCAUGCCGCGUGUGUGAAGAAGGCCCUCGGGUUGUAAAGCACUUUCAGCGAGGAAGAACGCCUAGCGGUUAAUACCCGCUAGGAAAGACAUCACUCGCAGAAGAAGCACCGGCUAACUCCGUGCCAGCAGCCGCGGUAAUACGGAGGGUGCAAGCGUUAAUCGGAAUUACUGGGCGUAAAGCGCGCGUAGGUGGCUUGAUAAGCCGGUUGUGAAAGCCCCGGGCUCAACCUGGGAACGGCAUCCGGAACUGUCAAGCUAGAGUGCAGGAGAGGAAGGUAGAAUUCCCGGUGUAGCGGUGAAAUGCGUAGAGAUCGGGAGGAAUACCAGUGGCGAAGGCGGCCUUCUGGACUGACACUGACACUGAGGUGCGAAAGCGUGGGUAGCAAACAGGAUUAGAUACCCUGGUAGUCCACGCCGUAAACGAUGUCGACCAGCCGUUGGGUGCCUAGCGCACUUUGUGGCG
rnacentral:rRNA from 1 species